UACGAAGGGGGCUAGCGUUGCUCGGAAUCACUGGGCGUAAAGGGUGCGUAGGCGGGUCUUUAAGUCAGGGGUGAAAUCCUGGAGCUCAACUCCAGAACUGCCUUUGAUACUGAAGAUCUUGAGUUCGGGAGAGGUGAGUGGAACUGCGAGUGUAGAGGUGAAAUUCGUAGAUAUUCGCAAGAACACCAGUGGCGAAGGCGGCUCACUGGCCCGGUACUGACGCUGAGGUGCGAAAGCGUGGGUAGCAAACAGG
rnacentral:rRNA from 1 species